ACGGGAGGCAGCAGUGAGGAAUAUUGGUCAAUGGACGCAAGUCUGAACCAGCCGUGUCGCGUGCAGGAUGACUGCCCUAUGGGUUGUAAACUGCUUUUAUAUUGGAAGAAUUGCGCUUACGAGUUAAGCGUUUGACGGUACAUUAUGAAUAAGGAUCGGCUAGCUCCGUGCCAGCAGCCGCGGUAAUACGGAGGAUCCGAGCGUUAUCCGGAUUUAUUGGGUUUAAAGGGUGCGUAGGCGGAAAUGUAAGUCAGUGGUGAAAUCCUGCAGCUUAACUGUAGAAUAGCCGUUGAAACUGUGUUUCUUGAGUACAUUUGAGGUAGGCGGAAUGUGGUGUGUAGCGGUGAAAUGCAUAGAUAUACCACAGAACACCGAUUGCGAAGGCAGCUUACUAAACUGUCACUGACGCUGAUGCACGAAAGCGUGGGUAUCAAACAGGAUUAGAUACCCUGGUAGUCCACGCUGUAAACGAUGAUUACUGGUUGUUUGCGAUACACUGCAAGUGACUGAGCGAAAGCAUUAAGUAAUCCACCUGGGGAGUACGUCGGCAACGAUGAAACUCAAAGGAAUUGACGGGGGCCCGCACAAGCGGAGGAACAUGUGGUUUAAUUCGAUGAUACGCGAGGAACCUUACCUGGGUUUAAAUGGGGAGUGACAGGCUUGGAAACAGGCCCUUCUUCGGACACUCUUCAAGGUGCUGCAUGGUUGUCGUCAGCUCGUGCCGUGAGGUGUCGGGUUAAGUCCCAUAACGAGCGCAACCCCUAUCGAUAGUUACCAGCACGUUACGGUGGGGACUCUAUCGAGACUGCCGGUGUAAACCGUGAGGAGGGUGGGGAUGACGUCAAAUCAGCACGGCCCUUACAUCCAGGGCUACACACGUGUUACAAUGGCCGGUACAAAGGGCAGCUACACAGCGAUGUGAUGCUAAUCUCCAAAUCCGGUCUCAGUUCGGAUCGAAGUCUGCAACCCGACUUCGUGAAGCUGGAUUCGCUAGUAAUCGCGCAUCAGCCAUGGCGCGGUGAAUACGUUCCCGGGCCUU
rnacentral:rRNA from 1 species